GCGAACGUUCUAGAAUUACGGCGCCUCCACUUGUUUAUGUUUGUAGAGUAUUUAAACGCUCGAGGUCCGCAAGUGCUUAAGUGUUUCCAAACGCUUCCGAUCAAAAGUGGAAACGAGGAAUCUCAAGAAGGAGCCGAUAUAAUAUCAGCUAGGAUGGACGUCAACCGCAGAAACUUUCCGAGCAAGUUGUGGCAUUUGGUGAAUGAUCCUCAGAUUUGCUCAAUCUGCUGGGAUGACAGUGGGGAAGGAAUACUGAUCUGUCAGGAGGCCUUCAAAGCUGAAGUCCUAUCUACAGCCAACAAGCGGAUGAACAAGUACUUCGAAACGAAAGACUUCAUCAGUUUUAUUCGCCAGCUAAACCUGUACGGCUUCAGAAAAGUGCGCCCAGACUAUGAGAUCUCAGAGUGGCAAGUCAGCACCAUGCAUCACUUUUCCAACCCCAACUUCAAACGGGCUAACCCAGAGCUUCUGGUCAAUUUAAAGCGACUGACGGCUUCCAACAAGGCCAAGCUUGCCGCUAAGCCAGAAGUGUCUGACCAGUCUGGACGUUCCCAUUAUCCGAUUCAGAAUUCACCUGAGAACUCUGCUGUGGUCGGUCAGUAUAUGGCUGGCAUGAAAGUCAAUGAAAUACUUCUCUCCGUCCGGAUCAACCGCCGAAACUUUCCCAGCAAGUUGUGGCAUUUGGUGAAUGACCCUCAGAUUUGCUCAAUCUGCUGGGAUGACCGUGGGGAAGGAAUACUGAUCUGUCAGGAGGCCUUCAAAGCUGAAGUGCUAUCUACAUCCAAGAAGCGGAUGAACAAGUACUUUGAAACAAAAGAUUUCAUCAGUUUUGUUCGUCAGCUAAACCUGUACGGCUUCAGAAAAGUGCGCCCAGACUCUGAGAUCUCAGAGAGGCGAGACAGCUCCAUGCAUCACUUUUCCAACCCCAACUUCAAACGGGCUAACCCAGAGCUUCUGGUCAAGGUAAAGCGACUGACACCUUCGAACAAGGCCAAGCUUGCCGCUGGGCUAGAAGUGUCCAACCAGUCAAGACGUUCCCAUUAUCCGAUGUGGAAUUCACCUGAGAACUCUGCUGUGGUCGGCACAGAUUUAGUUAAUCAUCAAGGAGCUUCUUAUCACCUGUACUCUCAGCAGGGGAAGGGGUCUGACACAACACCCCAAACCUCCCAGGCAUUUGUAACAGCUUAUGGUGAUUCACGCCCUCAGUUCUGUCACUUCCAGAUGGAUUUUCUGUGGGCACAUCCAUCCAGUCGAAUGCAACAGGGCUUACGUUGUGCAGUGCCUGAUGGGAAUUUAGGUGCCUUCAUACCUCAUUUCUCACAAUGCAGACUUUAUGCACCAGAGUAUCAGUGCUAUAUGCCAGGCUCCUUGGAUUCAAAAAUGCGCUGCUCCAAACAAGAAGUUGCCUCCUACACUCAUCGUGGCUUUGAUCCUGACUACUCAUUUAGCCACCUCCAGUACACUGUCCAGAAUCCAAACUGGCAAUCAGCUGAUGCUCCAGAUCCCAGGAAAAGUUACAUGAACCUGGAUAAUGAUAAAGUGGAAGUUGAAGUGCAGGACUCCUCAGUCAGCCCUGUCCGUUGCACUGCUCAGGAUCCAAACUGGCAAUCAGCUGAUGAUCCGUAUCCCAGGACAAGUUACAUGAACCUUGAUACUUUUUUUCAUAGUGGAAAAUGAAAUGCAGUCUAAGUAGUGCAAGUAGAGAUUGCUUGCAUUGGAAGUGAAGAAGAGAACAUCUCUGUGAGUGGUAUCCAAAUGUCAUAGUGUGACCAUCGUGACACCAAAACAACCUGUUUAUACAGUAAGGCUGCUGCUUUCAUCUCUAUUUAGACCACCAUUGAGAAGUCACCUGGGAAUUAAUUAAAAAAGUAUUUUUGGAAUAAUUUCUUUAAUAAAAAAAUAAAUCCAAGAUGUAUCAAAAACAUUAAUAUAUAUACCAAAAGCUCUUAUAUUGUAUAGUUUUACUGCUGGUUGACUGAGGAGGCAUUUUGUUUUAUAUCGCUGAAAUUAAACAAAUGUAUUAUUGCAAGUGUUCAUACUGUAAUUAGUUGGGAACAAAAGGACAAUUUUAAACACAACCGCAUAACUAAUAAUACAAUAAAAUAAAACAUCGAACUUGUACAAAAUAACAAUUAUUGCAUGGUCAGUGCAACAAUGUGAGAUACUAAACUAGAUACUGCCUAAAGUUUAAAGCCGUUAGAUGUUUGUCUAAAAGAUAGAGACACAUGAUGGCUAGAAGCAAAAUACUGUUCCACCAAUAAGGAGUCAGGAUGCUCAAGCAGCAAUAUGAUGUGCUAUCAGCAUGUUUAGACCUUAGAAAUAAAUGCUAUGUGAACUUUGGUAAAUUUAGACUUGACUUGGCCUGAGGAGGUGUGCAGUUCUAAACCGGGGUGCAUGGGCACUGUUGUGUAAUUCCCUGUGAUACCUGGAAAGCAGGAACAAAAUCUGCUUAUAAACCAUGGAGGCACCAGGAGAGAAGACAUGUGGAAAAAUCAGCAAGAAACAAAGAUGGUUGCAGUGUGUUGCAGACUUUUCUGCAGUCAAAAAAAUAUCUGGAAGAAUUAUGACAAUUAUUCCACUUUCACAUUCACACAAAACAAAUCUAGUACAGUAGCUGCUCAGGUUGUGAAUACAUUCGUGAAUUAGCUGUUUUGUGUGUGCAUAGUUAGAAGGACACAUGGCCUGGUAGUAGGAAUAUAAACAAUGGCUCCAUUCACAAGAUUAGAUUCAAAUUUCAAAUGUGCUUCAUCCACACUCAGAACUUAGCAAGUAGCAUUGCACAUAAUACAUGAGACAGUAAACAAUACUGGACAGUUUUCUUUGGCUUGGUUUAUUCAUAUACCAUAUAACAUGUAUAGACAGAUCCAUGUAACAAUGAGAAUGAGGCAAUGUCUGAGUUAUGUGCUAGUCCACAGUGUAAUGAGAAAAACAUUGUAUAUACUACUACUACCACUACUACUAUUAUUAUUAUUAUUAUUAUUAUUAUUAAUAAUAAUAAUAAUAAUAAUAAUAA